UGCCAGACUCCUACGGGAGGCAGCAGUGAGGAAUAUUGGUCAAUGGGCUUACGCCUGAACCAGCCAAGUCGCGUGAGGGAAGACUGCCCUAUGGGUUGUAAACCUCUUUUGUCAGGGAGCAACGCCGGCUACGCGUAGCCGGACUGAGAGUACCUGAAGAAAAAGCAUCGGCUAACUCCGUGCCAGCAGCCGCGGUAAUACGGAGGAUGCGAGCGUUAUCCGGAUUUAUUGGGUUUAAAGGGUGCGCAGGGGGAAGAUCAAGGCAGUGGUAAAAUUGGGGGGCUCAACCUCUUCGAGCCGUUGAAACUGGUUUUCUUGAGUGAGUGAGAAGUAUGCGGAAUGCGUGGUGUAGCGGUGAAAUGCAUAGAUAUCGCGCAGAACUCCGAUUGCGAAGGCAGCUUACCAGUCUGCGACUGACGCUCAGGCACGAAAGUGUGGGUAUCGAACAGGAUUAGAUACCCCAGUACC
rnacentral:rRNA from 1 species